AUUGAACGCUGGCGGCAGGCCUAACACAUGCAAGUCGAGCGGAUGAAGGGAGCUUGCUCCUGGAUUCAGCGGCGGACGGGUGAGUAAUGCCUAGGAAUCUGCCUGGUAGUGGGGGAUAACGUCCGGAAACGGGCGCUAAUACCGCAUACGUCCUGAGGGAGAAAGUGGGGGAUCUUCGGACCUCACGCUACCAGAUGAGCCUAGGUCGGAUUAGCUAGUGGGUGGGGUAAAGGCCUACCAAGGCGACGAUCCGUAACUGGUCUGAGAGGAUGAUCAGUCACACUGGAACUGAGACACGGUCCAGACUCCUACGGGAGGCAGCAGUGGGGAAUAGUGGACAAUGGGCGAAAGCCUGAUCCAGCCAUGCCGCGUGUGUGAAGAAGGUCUUCGGAUUGUAAAGCACUUUAAGUUGGGAGGAAGGGCAGUAAGUUAAUACCUUGCUGUUUUGACGUUACCAACAGAAUAAGCACCGGCUAACUUCGUG
rnacentral:rRNA from 1 species